AGGAAAAAAUGGAUUUGGAUUUGGCUUUAGCUUCAUUGGACUGUAGAUACUGGAGAUGACUUUGAGGAAAUUCUAGGUUAAAUUGUUGAUUCAAAAGAAACAGUGACACCAGAAUGGUUGUUCUUGAAAACAAAUAUGAUUAGAUAAGUCUCUUCCUUAAGACAUCGGUAAUAUGUGCCUCAAUGACUAAAUAAGGCAUAAAAGACUAAUUGAUUUGGUCUACUCUGUAAGUUUCACAAGUUCAAAUAUCUCAUUAUUUUUUUCAAUGUUUUGUAGAAGCAGAGAAAAAAAUUGUAUUUACACGUUAAAAUCGUCUGUGGAGAUUCAACAAAACGUCCGGUGCUCCACCUCUGCCCCAUCAGUGACAUCAGAAUCCCUGAGACUUACUUGAAUAUCCGGUCAUGCACAGCAACACUGACUACAUGAUGCUGCCGCUAAGCAACUUUUCCCCAUUUUCUCCUUGUGCAAUUGGAUUUCAGGACAUUGAGCUCUACCUCAGUUUCAUUCUUAGAGUGAAAACCAAAUAGACGACUGAAUAUACGAUUUGGAAGUAUGUCUUUAAAUGAGUCAUACAAAUGAAUUAAUACUCACAGAAAAGAAAAACAGUGUUAUUGCUAACCAAAGGGAGGGCAGCUCUUUAUUUAUGCAUAUAUCCAAUGAAAAUGUGAACACAUGAUCUUGAAGAAAGGUACAUUCCAAUGUCUUUUUCCCAGGAUUUUAUGAGUUGAUGUGCUUUUAUUACUUAUGCGAGCUUUAAACUAAUUCACGUUAUAUUUUAGGUAAAAGGGAAACUAAUUCAUGUUAUAUUUUGGGUGAAAGGGCAGUCUUUCUGAAACACAUCUGGAUAACUGAUUUUUUCCUUGCGAAAUGUACAUUAUCCCUGAAUAUUCUGAUAUAUUUGCUAACAUGAUAGACAUGCAAAGCAAGCAUAGAAUUGCUGUUAGGCCAUUGAGCAAACCCUAAUAUACUUCACUUGAGAUAUCUUUAAUUAAUCUUGAUACAUUGAAUUAUGUCCAUUUCUCAGGUAAAACAAUAGAAGUCAUUGGGUAUAGGUUUAAAAAAUAAGACUUUAAAGGGUUUUCUAGAACAAAAGUAAUUUGUAUUUCUUUUUACUCAUUUAAAAGUAGGUUUUAAAGUUAAAUUGCAUACAGCAAAUGCAAGAUGAGAUUUAACCUGAAACAAAAACUAGAAAAUUAUUUUUGAUUUUGGUUUGGUACAGUAUGGAAAUCUCCUUGUUUAACAUAUCUGUUGAAAUGAGCAAAUGGCAUGAUCCAGGCUGUUAACUCACUAUACCCUUUCUUGUGUGUGUGUGUAUUUCCAUGCGUUAAUAAAAUUGAACUCACUGAAUAUGUUUACUGCAUGUUUUAUUCUAUGCUGUAUGUCUCUCCUUUAAUAUAGCUAGAGAACAUGCAUUGCAUAUACACUCAGAAGCCGUGACUAUAUGUAAUAAAAGUAUCUCCAGAGAUGACUCAAAAU